rnacentral:rRNA from 1 species
UACCAGACUCCUACGGGAGGCAGCAGUGGGGAAUAUUGCACAAUGGGGGAAACCCUGAUGCAGCGACGCCGCGUGAGCGAUGAAGUAUUUCGGUAUGUAAAGCUCUAUCAGCAGGGAAGAAGAUGACGGUACCUGACUAAGAAGCCCCGGCUAACUACGUGCCAGCAGCCGCGGUAAUACGUAGGGGGCAAGCGUUAUCCGGAUUUACUGGGUGUAAAGGGAGCGUAGACGGCGAUGCAAGCCAGAUGUGAAAGCCCGGGGCUCAACCCCGGGACUGCAUUUGGAACUGUGUGGCUGGAGUGUCGGAGAGGCAGGCGGAAUUCCUAGUGUAGCGGUGAAAUGCGUAGAUAUUAGGAGGAACACCAGUGGCGAAGGCGGCCCGCUGGACGAUGACUGACGUUGAGGCUCGAAAGCGUGGGGAGCAAACAGGAUUAGAUACCCCAGUACAC